rnacentral:rRNA from 1 species
GACGGAGGGGGCUAGCGUUGUUCGGAAUUACUGGGCGUAAAGCGCGCGUAGGCGGUGAUCUUUGUCAGAGGUGAAAUCCCGAGGCUCAACUUCGGAAUUGCCUUUGAAACGGGAUCGCUUGAGUCCGAGAGAGGAUGGCGGAAUUCCUAGUGUAGAGGUGAAAUUCGUAGAUAUUAGGAAGAACUCCGGUGGCGAAGGCGGCCAUCUGGCUCGGUACUGACGCUCAGGCGCGAAAGCGUGGGGAGCAAACAGG